CCCCGUCUGGCGAAACCGGUAGACGCACCGUCCUUAAAGCUCGGCGGCCGACAGGCUAUUGCCGGUUCGAGUCCGGCGGCGGGGACCA
rnacentral:tRNA from 1 species